GAACGACUGCACAACACAUUCUGCUCCAAGAUCCAGAAUCGUUCUCGUUCUCAAGGAAGGCGCCGUUCCAAUUUGGCCUCUGCCAUCGCUCAUCCACGUCCAGAGGGUAGUGAUUCCAUUUGUUCCCCAUUAAUCUGCCGUAUCCCAAAGCUGCGCCGAAAAUUUUUCGACGAAGAUGACGAUAAUGUGGAAGAUGCGUCAAGGUUAGAGGGUGUCGAAGUCUUCUACAUCCCUAAUCAAAAUGGAGAAAUGGUUCCACGAAUUCAGAAUGUUCACCCUCCCAAGCCAACCAAGAAAAACCUCAAGCCUUCGUCUUCACCACAUGGAAGCUCGUGUGGAUCGUCAAGCUCGUGGUGGCGAAGCUCCUUCAAGUAGUAUUUUACGGGCAACUCCAUGCAUGGGUUUAUCAAUAAUGGCUAGUAGGAUGUGUGUUUUCUCUGUCUACUGUAUUGUUGCUAAUGAUUAACUCAAAUGUUUAAGUACUAUGAAUCUAUGUGUGGUAUUAUUAUCUAUUUGUUUUCACUAGCUUAUGUACUCCGGUUGGAACAUUGGCCCUGCGUCUAAUCAUGGUAUUAUGUAAUGUUGUUAUUGGCCCUA